UACGUAGGGGACCAGCGUUGUCCGGAUUUACUGGGCGUAAAGAGCGCGCAGGCGGUCGUUCAAGUCGGGUGUGAAAGCCCCCGGCUCAACUGGGGAGGGUCAUUCGAUACUGAUGGACUCGAAGGCAGGAGAGGGAAGCGGAAUUCCCGGUGUAGUGGUGAAAUGCGUAGAUAUCGGGAGGAACACCAGUGGCGAAGGCGGCUUCCUGGCCUGUUCUUGACGCUGAGGCGCGAAAGCUAGGGGAGCAAACGGG
rnacentral:rRNA from 1 species